AUUGAACGCUGGCGGCAGGCCUAACACAUGCAAGUCGAGCGGAUGAAGGGAGCUUGCUCCUGGAUUCAGCGGCGGACGGGUGAGUAAUGCCUAGGGAUCUGCCUGGUAGUGGGGGAUAACGUCCGGAAACGGGCGCUAAUACCGCAUACGCCCUGAGGGAGAAAGUGGGGGAUCUUCGGACCUCACGCUAUCAGAUGAGCCUAGGUCGGAUUAGCUAGUUGGUGGGGUAAAGGCCUACCAAGGCGACGAUCCGUAACUGGUCUGAGAGGAUGAUCAGUCACACUGGAACUGAGACACGGUCCAGACUCCUACGGGAGGCAGCAGUGGGGAAUAUUGGACAAUGGGCGAAAGCCUGAUCCAGCCAUGCCGCGUGUGUGAAGAAGGUCUUCGGAUUGUAAAGCACUUUAAGUUGGGAGGAAGGGCAGUAAGUUAAUACCUUGCUGUUUUGACGUUACCAACAGAAUAAGCACCGGCUAACUUCGUG
rnacentral:rRNA from 1 species